UUACUUGUGCGUUGUCGGAGGUGGAGGCGUCCGACUAGCCCCGAUGAGGUUGGUUCAAUAUUUCAUUUUCUCAUUUUUCUUCAUAGCAUAAUGCUCCCCUCGCUCCCCUGAACAUUAACCCCAUGUUAAUUGCUUGAAAUAAUGAACGGUUGGCAUUUACUAUAACUUUGAAGGAUUAGGGUUCUUGCUUAAAACUGUAAAAUAAAUUGUUUUCAUUUGGAGUUUGAAAAUUUAGAGAGUGGAUUCAUGUUGAGGAGAAAGAGUCGGUCAGACCGGAAUGAUGUUUUUAUGAUUCCGACCACCCUCGCCGGAACUCAUGGUGGAGGGUGGCGACGUGAUAACUAAGAAGAUGAGAAGAGAUAGUUGGCUGGAAAUCACGUUAUAUUCCUCUUUCUUUCUCUUUUUUAUUAUUCUUUUUUUAUAUAUAAUUUCUUUUCACUUAUCCAUGUGGCAAUACCUUUACCCUCUGAUCCUUUGACAUGAUCAUUUGACAUUGGACUAUCAUCCAACGCCCUCAGACGCGCCAUAUGGCAAUCCCAAAAUACGUUUUUAACUUGAAUUUGGGCUCCUUUUUGUCUCAGGCUUGACCUUUUUUCUACUUGCAACAUCUAUUUAAAUCCAUACCUCCAUUCUAGUUUUUUU
rnacentral:lncRNA from 1 species